UACGAAGGGGACUAGCGUUGUUCGGAAUCACUGGGCGUAAAGCGCACGUAGGCGGAUUUGUAAGUCGGGGGUGAAAGCCCGGGGCUCAACCUCGGAAUUGCCUUCGAUACUGGGUAUCUUGAGUUCGGGAGAGGUGAGUGGAAUGCCGAGUGUAGAGGUGAAAUUCGUAGAUAUUCGGCGGAACACCAGUGGCGAAGGCGACUCACUGGCCCGAUACUGACGCUGAUGCGCGAAAGCGUGGG
rnacentral:rRNA from 1 species